GGAUUUCUUUGGCUUAGAAGCUUGUAAACAUAAUUUCAAUGCACUACAUAUCCCAUAACAUUUAGCUAGUUCUUGAACUGACUGGGAAAUGUUAGAUAUGAGGUCCAAAAACAUCUGCGGUUCCAAGGUUAGUUACUCUUAUCUCUUACAUGCUUAGCCAUCAGCAUUACUAAGAAUUAAAAAGUGUAUAGUGUAUAUCGUAAUACAAACGCUAUUUAGAUCACCGUAAAAAAGCAUUUUUACUCACCUCCUCUCCCACGCCGCACAGGUAUCACAGCGGCUGCCCUUGUUUCCAUGCUUGACAUCAUCAGUCUUGAUGAUCUCACCCAUUUCAAUGCUUUUCCAUAG